GAUGAAGAACGCAGCGAAAUGCGAUACGUAAUGUGAAUUGCAAAUUCAGUGAAUCAUCGAAUCUUUGAACGCACAUUGCGCCCGGUAGUAUUCUGCCGGGCAUGCCUGUUCGAGCGUCAUUUCAACCAUCAAGCCCCAGCGCUUGUGUUGGGGGCCUGCGGCUGCCGCAGCCCCCUAAAAGCAGUGGCGGGCUCGCUAUCACACCGAGUGCAGUAGUUCAUCUUCUCUCCGGUCUUGUGAGGCGGGUUCCGGCCGUGAAACACCCCACUACAUUCAAGGUUGACCUCGGAUCAGGUAGGAAUACCCGCUGAACUUAAGCAUAUCAAUAAGCGGAGGA
rnacentral:misc_RNA from 1 species